rnacentral:lncRNA from 10 species
CCGGUGUGGAGAGUGGGCAGAAGCAGGAGACAGAGCACAGCCAGGGGAGGGCGGGUUCCAGGAAGCGCUGCAGCCAGGGAGCUAGCCAGAUAAGACCGGAACGCGUCUGAGCCUGUCUCACUUGAAAGCCACCGUCACCCUCAGUGGAGUGUUGGAGACAGAGGCCAGAUUGGAGAGGGAGUGAAAAGAUGACCGGAAGAGGGUCAUUAGGAGGGUGGGGACGGGCUGGGGGCCCCAAGACACAGCGUCAGGCUGGAGGAACCAGUGGGGUAUUGUAGAAGGCAGUAUUGGGGCCCCACCUAUGGGUGGAGAUGACGGGGCAGGUACAGCCACAUCAGUCCUCACUGCGGGGACUUGCAGAAAAUAUGCUUUUGUCCCACCCCCAUUCCACUCCCAAGGCUGGCGUUUCACGCGUGCAGCUUUCCCUCUCACUUGCCUCCUCCGUCACCGCCCAGCAAGUAUGAAAUGCGCAGUAACCCUUUGAGUCCUGUGUCCUCCUGCCUCAAAUGAAGAAAUGUUGCCUUGUCUGACACCUGGGCUUGUGGCAGCUUCGUGGCUUUCUCAUGCAGAUGUUAGCCAUACAGCCUCUUGAAGGUGGGGCCUCCUGGAUCUCUUCCAGAGUCUGCGGCUCUUCUGCCCUGUGCACUCUCCUUUCGUGAUCUUCCUGCUUUUGUAUGCUUAGCUACUGCCCGUGUGCCAGCGACUCCCAAAUCUGG